GAGCCACUCAUCAUGCAUGGGUGAGAAUUUCUACUCUACAUCCUGGGACAGAAAGUGAAGACUAUUUCUGGUGUCUCUUGACUCCGUCCUUAUUCCCAAUUCUUCCCCAAAGAAGAAGAGGCAACUAUCUGAUGGGUGAAUUUAAGAGCAAGCACCUAGCAAACUUAGUUUACCCUCCUCUGACUUUUCCGUCUGGCUCUGCGGAGUGUGUAUGCUCUUCCUUCUGGGGAGGGCUGAGCCUCCCCUCUGUGCUAAGGACCAGGAUCAAGCUCACGAACGUCGUCCUCAUCUCAGCAAUUCCCCUUGCCUGCUACAGCUCUCACCUGUCUUGGGUGGAGAAGGGCAUGCUGGAUGGUGUGGAUGGGAACGAUACCUUCCCAGGCAGGUCCCAGGAAAUUCUUGGCAAACCAGCUGUAAUGCUUCCAACUGCUUCUGUUUAACUCAGGAAGGCGUCUUGGAGGAGCCACGGAAGUGAAGGGGCUGUGGUCUUACUGAGACGCUCUCAAAUCUACCUUAAGAUGUCCAUAAAAAUAACCGUUCGUGACCAUCGGUAUUUUAAUAUUGAUCUGCCCGACAGCCAGCUGUGACUUGAGGGGACUGUGAUUCUAGUGGAGAACUGGCUCCCCCGAACCUCAUCCUCCUCUUAGUCUGUGCAAGCUUACUAACUUCUGCCUCAGGAGUUGAAAUCUUUCCCUGCCCUCUUGUCUUACCUCUCAGGGGUCUUCCAAGGAAAAAGGCAUCAUAUUUAUUAUGCAAAACAUUGGGUUUGACCCCCUGAAACCACUUUUUUUUUUAAUGAUAUGAUCUCAUAACCUAUUGGAUUUUUGAAGGAAAGGAAACCCAUGACAGCUCAGUGCACCAACUGCUCCCCUUUCCUGGUGCACACUGAGCCUGCACCACACUGAGCCUGCACGUGACCCCUCAUUCCAUGAUCAGCACCGGGCAAAUACUUCCAAUCAUUAAAACAGACUCCUUUCAAGGGCCACGACUUGUCUGGUCUAUUUAAAGAUCGCCUCUUCAUGCAUUCCCUACAGCGCUUCGGUUCCCCCAGGGGGACCUUAGGCCUGUGGCCCUGG
rnacentral:lncRNA from 1 species